GCCCACCUUCCGGAGGUGUCGGGAGAGGACAGCCGAACCGCUUCCGGGAGGUUAAGGAGUUGCCCGCAGUCCCGUGGGUUACAGUGGUAGCUCGCGUGGUUUGGGCUCUGUCUCACCUUCUCCCUCGUACGCCUCCGAUCUCCCCACCCCCAGCUCCUGACCUCUACCGUGCAACUCGCCAGAGCUGCCUGGGCACGGAGAGUAAAAUCAGCUUCGAGAGGCACUUUGCAAGCCUGCAAGACCCAGUCGCAGAUUGGCCAAACUCACCCAGAGUCUCCCAAGGACGCCCCACACAUUCCUGCUGGAGGCCAUCCUUCUAAACGCUCCCUGCCCCUUUUAACCACUUAACCACCUUGCAAGAUCUCAUCCCAGUUUUCUCGUCUUCCCAAUUUGUUGGGAUUCUUUUUCCUUUGAACAACUUUAUUCUAUGCCUUGCUUGUUUGUCUAAGUAGGUUACAGAAUACAGGAGGGCAGGAACCACCCAUCGACUUCCUUUUGUUCCCCACUCUUCCAAAAAUACCACCUUGCAGAGAAGGAACUCAUUAAACACGUGAUUGACUGAAA